rnacentral:rRNA from 1 species
UGGGGGAUAUUGCACAAUGGGCGAAAGCCUGAUGCAGCGACGCCGCGUGGGGGAUGAAGGCCUUCGGGUUGUAAACUUCUUUUGCUCUGAACAAGGCGCACCAUGGGGUGUGUUGAGUGUAGGGGUUGAUUAGCGCCGGCUAACUACGUGCCAGCAGCCGCGGUAAUACGUAGGGCGCGAGCGUUGUCCGGAAUUAUUGGGCGUAAAGGGCUUGUAGGUGGCUGGUUGCGUCUGUCGUGAAAGCUCAUGGCUUAACUGUGGGUUUGCGGUGGGUACGGGCUGGCUUGAGUGCAGUAGGGGAGGCUGGAAUUCCUGGUGUAGAGGUGGAAUGCGCAGAUAUCAGGAGGAAUACCGGUGGCGAAGGCGGGUCUCUGGGCUGUUACUGACACUGAGGAGCGAAAGCAUGGGGAGCGAACAGG